AUGCAGGGGACACGGGUUCGAGCCCUGGUCUGGGAAGAUCCCACAUGCCGCCAAGCAACUGGGCCCGUGCACCACAGCUACUGAGCCUGCGCUCUGGAGCCCACGAGUCACAGCUAGUGAGCCCUUGGGCCACAACUACUGAGCCUGCGUGUCUGGAGCCUGUGCUCCGCAACAAG